rnacentral:lncRNA from 1 species
GUGUUUAUUAAGUGCCAGCUGCUAUGAAGAGGGCUUUUUGUGGAUUUCCACAUAAUGCCUACAGCGACCUAUGAAAUUGGCACUGCUGGUAUCUGCAUUUUACAGGUAGAGGAUCCUGGGUGUUUUCACAAAGGAAGACAGAGAGUGGCGUAAAGCGGUGACUUCUCAACUUUCCUGAUGUCACCCCGGUGGCGUGAGCUCAUUAUGCUGAUUACAUGAUUGGCUAGUGGGUUAGGACCUGCAGGGCUGGAGCACCUGAAGACAAUUCACAAACCCAAAGGCAAAGACCCAAAGGCAAGGCACGGUGAGACAAGGGGUGGAAGAAAGCAAGCUGCCCUGACAGUUGAGACAGACACAGAUAAAUAAACAAGAACAAAAGCCCAGGACCACAGGCGGGACACAGGCCUCCCCGCGAGGGGUUUUUGGAGAUUGUUGGGCAACGGAAGCCAGGUGACUCCAGGCCGGGAAGGCUCCAUAGAGGUGGCUGCAUCACCGGGGAGGCACUGACUUUGAACUCAGUGGCAUGAAAGCAUCCCAGAACGUUCAGAUGUGUGCCCAGCCCUGUGGCUCUCACGCAUCUCCUGUGCUAGGGGGACGAUCUGGAUCAGUGCCUGGCCCAUGGAAGACUCCUGACCCAGGCUUGUUCACUGAAUGAAGGCAUUCCACAUGUUCUGUGAUGCGGGCAAGUCAUUCAUUCAUUUAUGCAUUUAGAAUGAGCUUUGAGAAUAUGGCAGCCUACAAAAUGGACAUGGUCCUGCCUUCAGGGAGCUUCUGGUCCAGCCUAUGGCCUCUUGCCUGGAAAGAGAUGUUACCACGUUAUUAGGAGGUAGUGUGGUGUGGGAAGGAAAGACUCAUUGGCAGCUGACUGAGAGACUCGCUUCCCAUUGAGCUUCCCAUCACUGGGACUGUUGAAGCAAAGGUUUCACAAUCUGACUUGAAUUGGGCUCAGGACACAUUGAGCAACCCCGAUCGGUGGCUCACCUGCAAGUCAAGCCUAUGACCAGAGCUUCUUCAUGCCUUAAGUGACGAUUGUGCCCUCUUGGUUGGUCAUGGCUGCAGUGUGAUGAGAACCUGCUUUUCCCCUGAGCUGCCUGGCUGCCUUCAAAACCCUCGAGUGAUCAAGAAAUAACUGCUUCCCAUCAAAAGAUUGCAUGUUGCUGCUACCUGUGUUUAGAGGCAGUUGGUGAUGUUCACACGAGCACCUGAAUGUGAAAAGCCAUGGUGUCUCCUAGUAUUCCAUGCAUCCCGAGGGGCACAAUUAGUGUAAGAAUGCCUCGUCACCUUCUAAAUCCCAAUCAGGUUCCCCAUGCCCCACUCUGAGGUGGAGCUAAAUGCAGAUUAAGAAACCAAAAAUGCCCCCAAAGCUGGGAGCCUUCCACAGGGGCUCUGGAGGGUCUCACUUCUCAGGAAACCCCUUCCUCUGUUGGCCCAGAUUAAGCCUGGGAGUCCAGAGACCAGGGUUCCCUGUCAACCUAUCAGGCUCCUCUGCUGGAGAGAAAGGAUGUUUCCAGGGCCUUGCUUGCCUGAUAGAAUGGAGGCAUCAAAGGUGCAUCCAGAGACAGGACGAUCUUGUUUUGCUUUUUCAAGCCUCUUAACGAUAACAAGGUCAUCACAUGGGCUCUGGCAUCCUCUUGGAUGGGGAAGGGCAACAGCAUCUUGUGGGAAUUGUAGAAAGCCCUCAGUGGAUCCCUCAAGUUCAUUGCCAGGGUUACUCUGCCUCACGCUUCUUCCCGUCAGCCAAUGGGAAGCCCCGCAGGAGACCCCUGGGUGGAAAGAGAGAGGCUACUACUCAAACCUACUCAAAAAUCAAUGCGGACACCCCCAACUUGUAGCCUGGGUUCAAAUUCCAGCUCUAUUACUUCCUUCUAGCUGAGUGAUGUGGGGCCAGUUACUUAACCUCUCUGAGCUUUGGUUUCCUUAUCUGUUUCCUGCUCCUCAGUUGGUCUGGCCACCUCCUGACUGCCUGAUCCCUGCUUCUCUGGGACCACAGCCCUGACCGCUCCCUCUGCAGCCUUGUCUCCUCCUCGGACCCCCCAGCGUUAUUCUCAACAAUCUCACCUACUAGGGAUUAUGCCUUCUGGGGAGAGCAGGCUCACAUACUGGCAGCCCAAGAGACCCAUUUCCCCAUCUUAAGGGAGGCAGGGAUGGACCCUUGCUGUGGGCUGGGGGUGGGUGAUGGGCCAAGGGUGGGUUCAGGACCCUCACUGCUGGGGAGGGGUUGGGGUUGCUCCCCUUCUUUGAGGAGAGCUGUCUGGGCGAGGCACUUAGUUUAGAAGUUUCCAUCUCUUCCCCACCUCCUCUUUAAAAUGAAGACAUUUGGGAGCACAGAAACUUCAGACAGAAGAGUGUAGGGUUCAUCUGUUCAGCCCUCUCAGCUUGCAAAUGAGGCCACUGAAGUCCAGAAACAUCUGCCGAGAAGCGUAGCUGGCAGGUAGCAUUGGGAAGAGGGAGGCUUUUCACCUGCAGAGGUGACAACAGAACAAAACUUUCACGGAGGCCAUGGUAGCUUCAGAGGGGAAAUUUCAAUUACAGCAAGAAAAUGCAUUCAUUUCUAUGCAUUUGGGUCGAUGGAUUUGCCCAUUGAAACCUAUUUGAAAAAUACAUAUAUUUUAAAAUGACAUUAAGAUUAUUUGGAGUUAAAAUAAACCUUGGUAAAUAUUUUCAUGCUCUCUUUUUACCCUGCCGCAAAUAAAAUAUAAUGAGCCCGACGUUUAGAU